UGUUGAUCAGGCCAGAGAGACAGGGUCAGAAUAUGGGAAGCUUGGUGCCUGCCCUUGGCGGGUGACUGGGGGUCUUGGAAGGUUGGGUACAGGUCAGAAGGAUUCAGGGGUUGGCAGUCAGGUGAUGUGACGAUUGUGGCCACCGGGUCCUCAUCUGUGAAUGAGACACUGUCACAUUCGGUUGAGCCGGGCAUAGCGCUGGACACCUGCUUCCUCAGCAUUGCGGCUGAGGUAAGAGGCUCAUGGGUUGGAGGUCAGCUUUGGCCACUUAGUAAGAGCAUGUCUGAAAAACAGCAAAGCAAAGCAAAACAAAACAACAGCAGACCUGCUAGCUGUGUGCCUGUGAACUUACUGGACCCCGAGCUGUCAAGCUAAGGCUUAUCUGCCAGUGUUCUCACAGGGUGGAGUCAGCCUCUGCUUUGAUCUUCAGUGUCUGCUGGGACUUCUGAUUGCUUCACAUCCUUGCUAGCUCUGGAUCCUUCAGAUCUGGUUUCUCUGUGUAACCUUGGCUGUCCCGGAACUCAUUAAAAACCAGGCUGACCUUGAACUCACAGAGAUCCACCUGUCUCCUGAGUGCUUGGAUUAAAGGCAUAUACCACCGUGCUCGGCUUACAGAAUAAUGCUAAUGCCACCCAGUGUGACCCAGGAUAGCUCUUCACUUUCCUGGGUCACCAAAGAAGAGCAAGGAAGCAGCUGGAGCCGGGCAGAGCCAGGCACAGGUGCAGGAGCAGGCCACGCCCCUGCCUCACAGAAAUGGGUGGCAGCUGCUCUGGGUUUUGUGGCCAGUUUCUCCCUAAAACCUCACAAGGCUCUUGCGUUUGGUUUGGACAUAUGUCCUGGACAGAUCUGCAGGGACACUUGAGGCAUCUGUGCUGCUGUCCCCCUCCUCUCCUUCACCACGGUUCUGAGGAGAGGGGGAUCGUCAACCCGUCGGCUCUGUGGCUGGGACUCAGAACAGAGUGUUCGUGUGAGGCUCCGGAUUCCAGUCCCUGGGAAUCAAAACCUGUUAGAAGGACAAGCAAAAAUAAACAAAAGUGAACUUGA